rnacentral:rRNA from 1 species
GUGGGGAAUAUUGGACAAUGGACGAAAGCCUGAUCCAGCCAUGCCGCGUGUGUGAAGAAGGUCUUCGGAUUGUAAAGCACUUUAAGUUGGGAGGAAGGGCAGUAAGUUAAUACCUUGCUGUUUUGACGUUACCGACAGAAUAAGCACCGGCUAACUUCGUGCCAGCAGCCGCGGUAAUACGAAGGGUGCAAGCGUUAAUCGGAAUUACUGGGCGUAAAGCGCGCGUAGGUGGUUUUGUAAGUUGGAGGUGAAAUCCCCGGGCUCAACCUGGGAACUGCCUCCAAAACUGCAUGACUAGAGUACGGUAGAGGGUAGUGGAAUUUCCUGUGUAGCGGUGAAAUGCGUAGAUUUAGGAAGGAACACCAGUGGCGAAGGCGACUACCUGGACUGAUACUGACACUGAGGUGCGAAAGCGUGGGGAGCAAACAGGAUUAGAAACCCUUGUAGUCC